GAAUUUGAGAUACACAAAAGAAACAGAGUAAGUAGGAAACAAAGUAUUAAACUAUAAAAAAUAAUCCUUUAACAAACUGACUGCAUAGCUACAAACAUAAGACAAAACAUAAUAAUGGAUCUAUUCCUACUUAGCUUAUCUGGCUGGAAAAGAAACUGUAACCACUCAAAAAUUCAAUAAAAAAUCCUUCCCUAGUGUCAAAAAGAAAAUUGCUGUUAUUUGAAUUACUGUGAUGGUUUACUACAGGUAAUAAAAUCAGAUUGCAUAUAACUAGUUUGUGACUUUUUAGCCCAUUAAAAUUUUCUUGCCUUCAUCUAUCAUUACUUAAAAGAUAAUGAUCAAGUCACAUCAAGAAGCAUUUAAAAUGGUAUUUUAGUAGAAACGGGGUUUCACCAUGUUGCCCAGGCUGGUCAUGAACUCCUGAGCUCAGGCAAUCCACCCACCUCAGGCUCCCAAAGUGCUGGGAUUACAGGCAUGAGCCACCGUGCCCAGCCACCU
rnacentral:lncRNA from 10 species